rnacentral:rRNA from 1 species
UACAGAGGGUGCAAGCGUUAUUCGGAAUUACUGGGCGUAAAGCGUGCGCAGACGGUUGCGUAAGUCAGAUGUGAAAGCCCCGGGCUCAACCUGGGAAUUGCAUUUGAGACUGCGUAGCUAGGGUGCGGAAGAGGGAAGCGGAAUUUCCGGUGUAGCGGUGAAAUGCGUAGAUAUCGGAAGGAACACCAGUGGCGAAGGCGGCUUCCUGGUCCAGCACCGACGUUGAGGCGCGAAAGCGUGGGGAGCAAACAGG